GAUGAACGCUGGCGGCGUGCCUAAUACAUGCAAGUCGAGCGAACAGAUGAGGAGCUUGCUCCUCUGACGUUAGCGGCGGACGGGUGAGUAACACGUGGAUAACCUACCUAUAAGACUGGGAUAACUUCGGGAAACCGGAGCUAAUACCGGAUAAUAUAUUGAACCGCAUGGUUCAAUAGUGAAAGACGGUUUUGCUGUCACUUAUAGAUGGAUCCGCGCCGCAUUAGCUAGUUGGUAAGGUAACGGCUUACCAAGGCAACGAUGCGUAGCCGACCUGAGAGGGUGAUCGGCCACACUGGAACUGAGACGCGGUCCAGACUCCUACGGGAGGCAGCAGUAGGGAAUCUUCCGCAAUGGGCGAAAGCUUGACGGAGCAACGCCGCGUGAGUGAUGAAGGUCUUCGGAUCGUAAAACUCUGUUAUUAGGGAAGAACAAAUGUGGAAGUAACUAUGCACGUCUUGACGGUACCUAAUCAGAAAGCCACGGCUAACUACGUG
rnacentral:rRNA from 1 species